rnacentral:rRNA from 1 species
GAUGAACGCUGGCGGCGUGCCUAAUACAUGCAAGUCGAGCGAACAGACGAGGAGCUUGCUCCUCUGACGUUAGCGGCGGACGGGUGAGUAACACGUGUAUAACCUACCUAUAAGACUGGGAUAACUUCGGGAAACCGGAGCUAAUACCGGAUAAUAUAUUGAACCGCAUGGUUCAAUAGUGAAAGACGGUUUUGCUGUCACUUAUAGAUGGAUCCGCGCCGCAUUAGCUAGUUGGUAAGGUAAAGGCUUACCAAGGCGACGAUGCGUAGCCGACCUGAGAGGGUGAUCGGCCACACUGGAACUGAGACACGGUCCAGACUCCUACGGGAGGCAGCAGUAGGGAAUCUUCCGCAAUGGGCGAAAGCCUGACGGAGCAACGCCGCGUGAGUGAUGAAGGUCUUCGGAUCGUAAAACUCUGUUAUUAGGGAAGAACAAAUGUGUAAGUAACUAUGCACGUCUUGACGGUACCUAAUCAGAAAGCCACGGCUAACUACGUG